GCACCCAUAGCUUAAUGGAUAGAGCAUCUGACUACGGAUCAGAAGGUUGGGGGUUCGAGUCCCUCUGGGUGCGCCA
rnacentral:tRNA from 1 species